AGUGAGGUCGUUUUCUGAAUUUUUCGUUUCUGUUCUCUACCUUUAGUUUGCUUCAACCAAAUGUUAUAAAAUUUAUACGUAAUGAUUUAUAAUGGUUUAUAUUUAUGCAAGAGGGGCAUCAUCAAUGUCCCAUGGACACAUUCCUUCAAACUCAGAGUCUUGUACAUGUAUUAAUACACAAGUAUGACCAAAUUUAAACACCUCCCCUUCCGACUGAUAGUUGUGGGCAUAAAAGUUAAGGGAUGACAUCAAAAGUUCAAUGUAGGAUAAAAAAAAACUUAAUUCACAUAGUUUGUUCACUGACCCCCUCCCCCCUCUUAACUUAAUUUGGGAAAAAUUUGAUUGACCAAUAUGGAUAUAUGUAAAAUCGAUGUCAAAUUAAUAAAAACUUGCAGCAACUUUUAUCCCCC
rnacentral:lncRNA from 1 species